rnacentral:tRNA from 1 species
GGGAGAAAUGGCUGAGAGGUUAAAAGCGAUAGAUUGCUAAUCUAUUAUAUGAAUUUUUUUGUAUCAAGGGUUCGAAUCCCUUUUUCUCCUA